ANNUUAUGACUCAUUGGCUCCCGGGAGUGUUUAUACGGGGGACNGNUGAGUUUUGUCUGGGAAACUGCCUGAUGGAGGGGGAUAACUACUGGAAACGGUAGCUAAUACCGCAUAACGUCGCAAGACCAAAGUGGGGGACCUUCGGGCCUCAUGCCAUCAGAUGUGCCCAGAUGGGAUUAGCUAGUAGGUGGGGUAACGGCUCACCUAGGCGACGAUCCCUAGCUGGUCUGAGAGGAUGACCAGCCACACUGGAACUGAGACACGGUCCAGACUCCUACGGGAGGCAGCAGUGGGGAAUAUUGCACAAUGGGCGCAAGCCUGAUGCAGCCAUGCCGCGUGUNUGAAGAAGGCCUUCGGGUUGUAAAGUACUUUCAGCGGGGAGGAAGGCGAUAAGGUUAAUAACCUUGUCGAUUGACGUUACCCGCAAAANAAGCACCGGCUAACUCCGUGCCAGCAGCCGCGGUAAUACGGAGGGUGCAAGCGUUAAUCGGAAUUACUGGGCGUAAAGCGCACGCAGGCGGUCUGUCAAGUCGGAUGUGAAAUCCCCGGGCUCAACCUGGGAACUGCAUUCNAAACUGGCAGGCUAGAGUCUUGUAGAGGGGGGUAGAAUUCCAGGUGUAGCGGUGAAAUGCGUAAAGAUCUGGAGGAAUACCGGUGGCGAAGGCGGCCCCCUGGACAAANACUGACCCUCAGGUGCCAAAGCGUGGGGAGCAAACAGGGAUUAAAUACCCUGGNUANNCCCCCCCCUAAACNAUNUCNAUUUUG
rnacentral:rRNA from 1 species